rnacentral:sRNA from 1 species
GCUACUUCCUGUUCACCAGGUUCUAUCUGCAUGUCGUUCAAGUAGAACGGUGUGUUAUCCUGUUGAACGACAUAAUCAAGGUCCUCACUGGCUGCUGGUGUUCUCUGAUUAUCAAACAGACAGGAAAAGCAUUUUCCAAAUCAUUCGCAGCAUACCAGUUGCCAUGGGCUGUUUGUUCUGGUGAGAGAUGACAUCUAAAACAGCAGCCACAUUUAGUCAGCAUCUGUUGAGGCUUAAAGUAAUACAGUGUCCUCCAAGAGCCAUUCUUCUGUACAAGCCAAAUGAGAAGUAAAAAGAGAUGUGAAAGAAUCAUCGCCUCUGCAUCUUAGAAGUCUUUGAUGGUGGUGCCAGUCUAGAAGAUGCCCAAAGGAAUCUGUGAAGAAAAAAUGACUGCUGCCCGCAUUAGAAAAUGCCACAAGUGUGGGACUGGCCUCAUCAAAUCUGAAGGCUGCAACCGCAUGUCUUGCCGCUGUGGUGCCCAGAUGUGCUACCUCUGUCGAGUUUCUAUUAAUGGAUAUGACCAUUUCUGCCAACAUCCCCGCUCACCAGGAGCCCCUUGCCAGGAGUGUUCAAGAUGCUCUCUCUGGACCGAUCCCACUGAAGAUGAUGAGAAGCUUAUUGAGGAAAUCCAGAAGGAGGCUGAAGAGGAACAGAAAAGAAAGAAUGGAGAGAACACCUUCAAACGCAUUGGACCCCCGCUGGAGAAGCCUGUGGAGAAGGUGCAGAGGGUGGAGGCCCUCCCGAGGCCCGUUCCGCAGAACCUGCCACAGCCACAGAUGCCACCCUAUGCCUUCGCGCACCCACCCUUCCCCCUGCCUCCCGUGCGGCCUGUGUUCAACAACUUCCCACUCAACAUGGGGCCUAUCCCAGCCCCGUACGUGCCCCCUCUGCCCAACGUGCGGGUCAACUAUGACUUCGGUCC